CUCGUAGGUGGCCAACUAAGUCAGACGUGAAAUCCCUCGGCUUAACUGGGGAACUGCGUCUGAUACUGGAUGGCUUGAGUUUGGGAGAGGGACGCGGAAUUCCAGGUGUAGCGGUGAAAUGCGUAGAUAUCUGGAGGAACACCGGUGGCGAAGGCGGCGUCCUGGACCAACACUGACACUGAUGAGCGAAAGCCAGGGGAGCAAACG
rnacentral:rRNA from 1 species